UCCGGUUGAUCCUGCCRGACCCCACUGCUAUCGGGAUAGGACUAAGACAUGCUAGUUGAGCGCUUCCAGCCAACACGGGAGCGCAGCGCACAGCUCAGUAACACGUGGCUAAUCUGCCCUUGGGACCGGAACACCCCCGGGAAACUGGGGCUAAUUCUCGAUAGGUGAAGAACUCUGGAAUGAGUCUUUGCCAAAAAGACGUUUACGUUAUGCUCGUAGGCGUCGCCCAAGGAUGAGGCCGCGACCGAUCAGGUUGUUGGUGAGGUAAUGGCUCACCAAGCCUUUUACCGGUGCGGGCCGUGAGAGCGGGAGCCCGGAGAUGGGCACUGAGACAAGGGCCCAGGCCCUACGGGGCGCAGCAGUCGCGAAAACUUUGCAAUACACGAAAGUGUGACAGGGCUAUCCCGAGUGCCAUCCGCUGAGGAAGGCUUUUACCCAGUCUAGAACGCUGGGGGAAUAAGGAGAGGGCAAGUCUGGUGUCAGCCGCCGCGGUAAUACCAGCUCUCCGAGUGGUGUGGAUGUUUAUUGGGCCUAAAGCAUCCGUAGCUGGCUGAGUUAGUCCCUUGUUAAAUCCACCGAAUUAAUCGUUGGAUCGCGGGGGAUACUGCUCGGCUAGGGGACGAGAGAGGCAGACGGUAUUUCUGGGGUAGGGGUGAAAUCCUAUAAUCCCAGGAGGACCACCAGUGGCGAAGGCUGUCUGCUAGAACGCGCCCGACGGUGAGGGAUGAAAGCUGGGGGAGCGAACCGGAUUAGAUACCCGGGUAGUCCCAGCUGUAAACGAUGCAGACUAGGUGUUUGGACGGCCACGUGCCGUUCUAGUGCCGCAGGGAAGCUGUUAAGUCUGCCGCCUGGGGAGUACGAUCGCAAGAUUGAAACUUAAAGGAAUUGGCGGGGGAGCACUACAAGGGGUGAAGCUUGCGGUUUAAUUGGAKUCAACGCCGGRA
rnacentral:rRNA from 1 species